UAAUAAAAGUGUUUUAUGGCACUUUUCAAACAAAUCCAUAUCCACCUUGUGUGCAAUGUUUUUUAUUUUUUAAUAAACACUUUAUUUUUUAAUUGCCAAUUUAUCUGAAGAUCAGUAUUAUUAUGAAUUAACUUAAUUCAAAAUA
rnacentral:misc_RNA from 1 species